rnacentral:rRNA from 1 species
AGAGUUCACAAGUGCGUGAAACUGCACACUGCAAAGCGAAUGACUGAACAUUCAAAAGUGCAAUCUGUCAAGCAUCUAACGCAAGCCCCGUUGGCUUCAGACCUGCGGUGUGUCUGAGAGGGAAGUUGCGCACCUGAUUGUGUCUUUGGCUGCCCGCAGGGCUGGGGAGAUUGUUCGAUGUUUACGAACAAGAGUGCGACACAAUCGUACUCUCUGUUACAGUGGCAUUUGAAAAGACGAACGGUGCAGUUUGCUGCACUGUUGUUCCGUUCAUCUCACCGGCCUGGCCUAUACUGUGAGGCUUUGGUCUAUGUGCUGCCGUCCUUAUGGUACGGUUGCGUCGGCGAAUGUUGGUGUUGCCGAAACUGAGAACGACGGCAAGAUAGGAUCAAAGUGUAGUCUGGCAAAAAGAGCAGCCUCCGCCAUGUGUACAGCAUUCGAACCGUCUUGAAACACGGACUAAGGAGUUCAACUUAAACGCAAGUCUUUUUUGCCAGAAAUAUUCUGAAAGCGGAGUGAAAUCGACUCUAAGACAGAGAGAGAGAUGUUAACUGAUUGGUGGGGGUGCAGACUUGUCUGUACACUUGUUUUGAUGGUAAGCACAUGUGAUGAGUGGCACGAAAUUUUCAAGUUGCUUACUGCACCUGAGCGUUCAGGUUGAGACCCGAAAGAUGGUGAACUAUGCUUGAGUAGGACGAAGCCAGGAGAAAUUCUGGUGGAAGUUCGUAGCGGUUUUGACGUGCAAAUCAAUCGCCAAACUUGAGUAUAGGGGCGAAAGACUAAUCGAACCAUCUAGUAGCUGGUUCCCUCCGAAGUUUCCCUCAGGAAAGCUGGCGUGCAUUAAGAUAGUUUUACCUGGUAAAGCUAAUGAUUGGAGGGAUCGGAGCUGUAAUAUCUUUGACCUACUCUCAAACUUAAAACGGAUAAGAACUUGCCCUGUGCUCCUUCAAUGAGCGGCAAGAGCAAUAGAGCGCGCCAAGUGGGCCAUUUUUGGUAAGCAGAACUGGCGCUGUGGGAUGAACUGAACGACGAGCUAAGGUGCCCGACGCACUUCUCAAGAGACGCCAUGAAAGGUGUUAGUUGAUAUUGACAGCAGGACGGUGGCCAUGGAAGUCGGCAUCUGCUAAGGAGUGUGUAACU